AGCAGCCGCGGUAAUUCCAGCUCCAAUAGCGUAUAUUAAAGUUGUUGCAGUUAAAAAGCUCGUAGUUGAAUUUCGGGGUUCUACCGUUGGUCGGGCUUUGUCUGUACUGGCGUGUAGAAUUUCUACCUUCUGGGGAACCAUCAUGUUAUUAAUUUAACGUGGUGGGAAACCAGGACCUUUACCUUGAAAAAAUUAGAGUGCUCCAGGCAGGCCUAUGCUCGAAUACAUUAGCAUGGAAUAAUAGAAUAGGACGUGUGGUUCUAUUUUGUUGGUUUCUAGGACCGCCGUAAUGAUUAAUAGGGACAGUCGGGGGCAUCAGUAUUCAAUUGUCAGAGGUGAAAUUCUUGGAUUUAU
rnacentral:rRNA from 1 species